rnacentral:lncRNA from 1 species
AUCAAGCACCCCCCAGACAUCAUCCAAUACUACUAGUGUACUCUUACUCUCCAGCAGUCUUGCACGUAGCCGACCUGCUCUUCCAAUUUCUCCUCUCCUAUCCAGGUCAAGACCUAGCAUACCUGCCAUCUCAUCUCGUAUCUUUGUAAAGUUCAGGUUCUAGGACACAACUGCCAUCACCACUUCAUCGAAAAGGUUCUCUUUCUCCACUGUCUUGAUCACUUCCUUCAUCAUGGUUGUUUUACCAACACCACCCAUCCCGUAAACUCCAACUAUACUAAUUUCUU